AACACCCUGCUUUGUGCGAGAAUCGUCCGUUUUUUUAAUCCAACAAAUCGUUAAACGGGAGUCCUUCUCCGGCUUUGUAAUGUAGGCCCUGCUUUUAUGGAUCAGGGGAACGUGAACCAGCCGGGAGAACUUUACCCACCCUUGUCAUUAGACCGGGUUUCAACGAUGGACUGUUCGGCAACGCGGGGUAUUU
rnacentral:other from 1 species